rnacentral:tRNA from 1 species
GUCUUGAUAGCUUAUAAAAGAGCAUAGCGUUGAAGGUGCUAAGGAGGGUUUAUACCCUUAAGACA